rnacentral:rRNA from 1 species
UACGUAGGCAGCAAGCGUUGUUCGGAGUUACUGGGCGUAAAGAGUGCGUAGGCGGUCCUGUAAGUUUGGUGGGAAAUCUCCCGGCUCAACUGGGAGGGUGCGCCGAAGACUGCAGGGCUUGAGUAUGGGAGAGGUAAGCGGAAUUCCUGGUGUAGCGGUGAAAUGCGUAGAUAUCAGGAGGAACACCUGUGGUGUAGACAGCUUACUGGACCAUAACUGACGCUGAGGCACGAAAGCGUGGGGAGCAAACAGG